rnacentral:tRNA from 1 species
UGGCUCAGUUGGUAGAGUAUGGUGCUUGUAACGCCAGGGUCGUUGGUUCAAAUCCCGC